GACGAACGCUGGCGGCGUGCUUAACACAUGCAAGUCGAACGAAGAGCGAUGGAAGCUUGCUUCUAUCAAUCUUAGUGGCGAACGGGUGAGUAACGCGUAAUCAACCUGCCCUUCAGAGGGGGACAACAGUUGGAAACGACUGCUAAUACCGCAUACGAUCUAAUCUCGGCAUCGAGGAUAGAUGAAAGGUGGCCUCUACAUGUAAGCUAUCACUGAAGGAGGGGAUUGCGUCUGAUUAGCUAGUUGGAGGGGUAACGGCCCACCAAGGCGAUGAUCAGUAGCCGGUCUGAGAGGAUGAACGGCCACAUUGGGACUGAGACACGGCCCAGACUCCUACGGGAGGCAGCAGUGGGGAAUCUUCCGCAAUGGACGAAAGUCUGACGGAGCAACGCCGCGUGAGUGAUGACGGCCUUCGGGUUGUAAAGCUCUGUUAAUCGGGACGAAAGGCUUUCUUGCGAAUAGUGAGAAGGAUUGACGGUACCGGAAGAGAAAGCCACGGCUAACUACGUG
rnacentral:rRNA from 1 species